rnacentral:tRNA from 1 species
GGUAGCUCAGUUGUAGAGCUCCUUGUCUAACAUGCAAAAAUCCCUGGGUUCAAUUCCCAGGACCA